rnacentral:rRNA from 1 species
UACGUAGGGUGCGAGCGUUAAUCGGAAUUACUGGGCGUAAAGUGUGCGCAGGCGGCCGCGCAAGUCGAGUGUGAAAGCCCCGAGCUUAACUUGGGAAUUGCGCUCGAAACUACGUGGCUGGAGUGUGGCAGAGGAAGGUGGAAUUCCACGUGUAGCGGUGAAAUGCGUAGAGAUGUGGAGGAACACCAAUGGCGAAGGCAGCCUUCUGGGCCAACACUGACGCUCACUGCACGAAAGCGUGGGGAGCAAACAGG